rnacentral:sRNA from 1 species
AUGAAAUAGUAUUAUUUUAGAUAUUUUAUUUACCUAGUCUUUGUGUCCUUAAAUUUAAACCUUAUUGUGCAUUAAUUAUGUAUUUGGGCUCUCUAGGUCUCGGUGAUUCAGAAUACACCUACUUUUGCAAUGGGGGGAAGAUAAUUGAUAAACGACUUCAAGAGCUUGGAGCUCGGCAUUUCUAUGACACUGGACAUGCAGAUGACUGUGUAGGCUUAGAACUUGUGGUUGAGCCAUGGAUUGCUGGACUCUGGCCGGCCCUCAGAGAGCAUUUUAGGUCAAGCAGAGGACAAAAGGAGAUAAGUGGCGCACUCCCGGUGGCAUCACCUGUGUCCUCGAGGACAGA